AAUGAACGCUGGCGGCGUGCCUAACACAUGCCAGUCGAACGAAAACACCGGGAGCUUUCUCCCCUGAGGUUGGCGCCGGACGGGUGAGUAACACAUGCAUCGCAUACCUCUAUGACGGGGGUAAUAUCGGGGGACCAGUUCUAAUAACACAGAAUAUAUCGUACCGGGUGGAGCAAUAGUGCAAGUCGCUUUUGGUGACAGUUAUAGCCGACGCCGGACUAGCUAGUUGGCGGGGUAAAGGCCCAGCUAGGCAACGAUCCGUAGCGGAUCCGAGCGGAUGGUCCGCCACACUGGAACUGAGACACGGUCCAGACUCCUACGGGAGGCAGCAGUCGGGAAUAUUGCGCAAUGGGCGAAAGCCUGAUGGAGCAACACCGCGUGAGUGAUGAAGGUCUUCGGAUCGUAAAGCUCUGUUGUUAGGAAAGAACAAAAGCGUAUUUAACCAUGCACGUCUUGACGGUACCUAAAGAAUAAGCCCCGGCUAACUACGUG
rnacentral:rRNA from 1 species